rnacentral:lncRNA from 1 species
AACCACCAGUCUGAUUUCUCCUUUUGGUCUCUUUAGCCUAUUUUAUAUAGUUUUCUAUGUGUAAUGCUUUUAUACUUCACCAAAGAUAUAGCAAAAAAUAAAUUUUGAUACCAGUGUUCUCAGAUCUGUUGUUUUUCUUUACCUUGCCAUAGACUGAUCUAUCUAGAUUUGUGGGAGAACUUAUUCCCCAAAGCUGUCACUCCUUUAUCUAGAGUGUUUAAUGUCUUACUUCUCAAUGAUUCCUGCCUUUCUGCCUUCGAAAAUGAACUCAGCAAACUGAGUGCAGCAAACUGUAUAGAGAGGGGAUGAAGAAUGAGGAGCUGAUGAGAAGAAACAGGGAGUGAGAAACAGGAUCAAAGUGUCACAAUAUUUAUCAGUAAAGGAG